GAUUUUGACUUUUACCGUUCAGGAGUUAUGGUUCUUGAAAGAUCGUAAAAUGGCGUUUCCAUUCAGGUUGUUGCAUUUACUCAUGAACCAUUCAAUCUAAGCUUUUCAAAUUUUAAUAUGUUGAUACUGAUGACAAAAUGGAGGUCAAAUUUGAUAUUGACAAUUUUCACUUUCACCAUUCAUCAGUAAUGGUUCUUAUGAUAUUGCCAGGAC
rnacentral:lncRNA from 1 species